AUUGAAGUUUGUACUUAUUUGAUGAAAUCUUCAAUAAUACUAGAUUUUAACCCGCGGUAUAUCGCGGGGACAAUUUAUUUUUUUAAGUUAGUAUAUAUAAAAGUUUACAAAUUAUAUCUAUCUAUAAAAUAUUUUUAUUUUAUAGUUUACAAUUGUUAUUAAGUAACGUCCUAUCAAAUCCGUCCCGCCAACCUGUCCCGUAAAAAAAACUCAUUGAUCUCAUUUAUGAUAUGUUUAUGAAUCAUUGUUUAAAUAUUUUGUAAUUUUGUAGUAAUUAAAUGCUAUCAAAUAUUUGUGCGGUUUGAUGAUUAUAAUCGAAUUGUUAUAGUCAUGUAGAAAAACAAUAUCAAAAAU
rnacentral:sRNA from 1 species